rnacentral:rRNA from 1 species
UCCUACGGGAGGCAGCAGUAGGGAAUCUUCCGCAAUGGACGAAAGUCUGACGGAGCAACGCCGCGUGAGUGAUGAAGGCUUUCGGGUCGUAAAACUCUGUUGUUAGGGAAGAACAAGUGCUAGUUGAAUAAGCUGGCACCUUGACGGUACCUAACCAGAAAGCCACGGCUAACUACGUGCCAGCAGCCGCGGUAAUACGUAGGUGGCAAGCGUUAUCCGGAAUUAUUGGGCGUAAAGCGCGCGCAGGUGGUUUCUUAAGUCUGAUGUGAAAGCCCACGGCCCAACCGUGGAGGGUCAUUGGAAACUGGGAGACUUGAGUGCAGAAGAGGAAAGUGGAAUUCCAUGUGUAGCGGUGAAAUGCGUAGAGAUAUGGAGGAACACCAGUGGCGAAGGCGACUUUCUGGUCUGUAACUGACACUGAGGCGCGAAAGCGUGGGGAGCAAACAGGAUUAGAUACCCUGGUAGUCCACGCCGUAAACGAUGAGUGCUAAGUGUUAGAGGGUUUCCGCCCUUUAGUGCUGAAGUUAACGCAUUAAGCACUCCGCCUGGGGAGUACGGCCGCAAGGCUGAAACUCAAAGGAAUUGACGGA